CCUACGGGAGGCAGCAGUAAGGAAUAUUGGUCAAUGGAGGGAAAUCUGAACCAGCCAUUCCGCGCGAAGGAUGACGGCCCUCUGGGUUGUAAACUUCUUUAGUCUGGGAAGAAAAGUUUGCAUUUAUGCGAAUAUGACGGUACCAGAAGAAUAAGCACCG
rnacentral:rRNA from 1 species